GUUCAUCAACAACAGCAACUGUAGCCCAGUGAUCUCGAGUUCAGAGAUGUUUCAGCUUAUGCGUGAGAUCAUCCAAGUCAACAACAUCAGCUAGCUCUUCUGACGGGCCUCGGCCCAGAUCCUCCGUCCCUGAUCAACGCCCGCGCGGCCCGAAGUUCCCGUCGCCGACGCAGAUCAGAUCCGGCCCAGGACAGUGCAGGUCCGGCCCGGCCCGUCCCUUCUUUUGUUUUUGUUCAGAUCUUGCAAAAAUCAUAUCUCUCAAACCGUAACUCGAAAUAAAAUGUUUUAUAUAUGAAAAUUGAUCAGAAAAAUAUGCUGAAUAUGAAUAUGACAUCUAUACAU